GCAGUGGCUGUUCAAUGGUAGAAUUCUCGUCUUCCAUGUAGGAGACCUGGGUUCAAUUCUCAGCUAAUGCG
rnacentral:tRNA from 1 species